rnacentral:lncRNA from 1 species
CAGAUGUCACAUGGUUCUUUGGAUGACAGAAGAAAAUAGGAACCAUCUCUCAAGAAAAACCACACGGGCAAAAGGUUUACCUUGGUCUUCUCAACCAACUGUUAUAUGCAAAAAAUAUUGUAACGUGGGAAGACACAAAGGACAAGCUAGCUUCUAGAAACAUGUUGGAUCAGAGUUGAUUCUUCUUUUUAAAUAGAGGAGUGACAUGGUCAUUUAGUAUUAGCUCUGGCAGUAGAAAUAACUUAAGGAGCAAUAUAUUGGGUAGAUUAAAAGAGGCUGUAGAUAGGGACUCAUUGUAAGUCUUUUUCAAGGGACUUGGGAGAGACAGGAUUACCUGAAUUUAGGCAGUGGUUUUCAGGAUGGCUCUGAGGGCAGAUUGGAAAGGCCAAAUGGAUUAGGAUUAGUUACCCAAUGGAUUUGGAGAUGAGUUAUGGGAAAUAUCCCACUCCUGGGCAUCUGUCCAGAGAAAACCAUAAUUCCAAAAGAUACAUGUACCCCAAAGUUCCUUGUAGCCCUAUUUACAAUAGCCAGGACAUGGAUGCAACCUAAAUGUCCAUCAACAGAGGAAUGAAUAAAGAAGAUGUGGUACAUAUGUACAAUGGAAUAUUACCCCUAAAAAAGACUGAAAUCAUGCCAUUUGUGGCAAUAUGGAUGGACCUAGAGAUGAUCAUACUAAGUGAAGUCAGUCAGUCAGACAAAGCAAGACAAGUAUCCUAUGAUUUCACUUAUAUGUAGUUAGAAACUUUCCUUUAGAAAGUUUACCUGUAGAGUCAGGAAGGAGACAGAGUUUUAAAAGGGGGUAUUUUUGAAUGUGAGGAUGAUCUGAGCAUAAUUAUAAAUGGACUAUAGAAGCCAGGGGAAAGAGAACUGAAACAGCAGCUUGAACAAGAACUGAAAGAAGUUGGAAGAGGAAGGGAACAAGAGCCUUGCGGGGUAGGGGUGCUCUUUCCCUAAGAUUAGAAUGAUUGUAGGCAAAUGGGAGUGUGGGGAUACUGAAGCCAAGCAAGACUGUACCUUAUAAUGACCAUUUUCUAAGAUCGAAGGACUGGGAAAAAGGUUGAGGACUUAAGAAAAAUCCAUGAACAGGAACUUGGGUAAGCCUGGGGAAAGAACUGCUAAGCAGCCAUAAAUGCAUACAGAAAAUUUCAAAGAACUAAUCUACACCAUCAUCAAGUUUGUACCAGUAGCUACUGAAAAGAAACAGAAGAAACAAGCAAUUUAUUGAUCUUGUGUUGGAGUUGGCAAGGUGGGGGUCGGGUCAAGGUGAGAUGGGGCCGUUCGUUCCAGUGAUGAGGCUGUGGUACCAUACAGGGUGAGUGGGGAUAGCAUCGAGCCACGAACGGGCAGGUAGACUGGAAAAAUAACAAGAGGAUAAAGCCUUCGGGCCUCCAACAAGGUCUCUAAGCCAAUGUCGAGAGAAGGAGGGGACGUGAGAGAUGGAAGGGUGGGAAGUUACGUAUAAUAAAGAACGUUGAGAGUAAUUAUUGCAGAGGUGGAAUAUUAUUCUGUAGAGUAGUAUGAGAAGACUCUGCAAGAAUGUAGGACUGAGCAGGAUCUUUAAGAAUGGGUAGAGUGGGGUUUUUUUGGUCUGUUUGUUUUUGUUUUUAGGGCCGAAGGUUAUGGAAAUUCCCAGGCCAGGGGUUGAACUGGAGCUACAGCUGCCAGCCUACACCACAGCCACAGCCAUGUGGGAUCCGAGGCACGUCUGCGACCUACAGUGCGGCUCACGGCAGUGCCAGAUCAUUCACCCACUGAGCGGUGCCAGGGACGGAACCCGCAUCCUCAUGAACACUAGUUGGGUUUGUCACCACUGAGCCACACCUGGAACUCCCAGGAACGGGUAGAGUUUCGUGGUGGAGGAGGGAGGACAUUCUGUGCCCCAAAUCAUGGAAGAACUGGAGACAGGUGGAAAGAGUACUCAUGGGGCCUGGAGAAGGGGGAGGUUGGCCAGAAAGGAAGCAGUGGGAGCCUUGCUUGCUGUACUGGAGUGGACAAGAAAAAGUGAGAUCCAUCCGUAAAUCAAGCCACAUUAUGGAAGGGUUCGAAACCCCCUUACAGGAGUAGCCCUUUUAUCUAAUGGGCAACCAGGAACCACAACAAAAUAGUAAAAGCAUGGGAAGGCCAGGAACCGAGGAAGGUGUUAGGCACUUUGCGCCCGUGGAGACUGUAGCAGGGAUUCCAGAGGGGAGGGGAGCGUGCCCAGAAGUGUCAUCCAGGUGGCUCGGGUGCCGCCUGGAGCAGUGACACACACGGAGGCAGCUUCCGUGCGGAGGUGAAAGGCUUUGAGGACGAACCGGAUGCAGGAAACAUACAGAAGCGCGAGGUGGUUCUCACGUUCUGGGCCAGGAGGCCAGAAAAUAAGCCUACUGCUGAGAGGCGUGGGGACCCGCGGGAGCAGGGCCUGCGGGAGCGGGGAGGGAGGGGCUGUGUGCCCAGCGGAGUUUUCCGCCCCAGGUGGGCCGCCCCGGGGCUUCCUGUUUGUGCGGUGAAGAAAUAAGGUUCUGAGGAAGCCCCAGGAUGUCAGAGCCUCGUGCACAUACUUAGCAUCAUACUGGCUUUAUUAAAACUGACAUGGGCCGGGCCCUGUUGUGAGAGGGCCGUAGCCGGCAUCACCCUGGCAGGAAGGAGUCAGACGUUGGGUGGCUCCUUGUGUCAUUUGGAGCAAAGGCUUCUGGUGAACAGGCUCCCUUCAUGAUGGCUGAGCUCCAAUUAAAAAACCUUUAAGGGAGGAUUAUAUGAAAAAGACUGUUUAAUCACACCUUAAUUUUUUUUUUUUUCAGUCCCAGCUGCACGGGGGUAACAGGCACCAUGCCGGGAGCACUACCUUUGAUUGAAAAGCAUAAAAAUUUUUACAGGCUUUUUUUUUUUCCCUAUUUAGUUAAAAUUUGGGGUCUCUUCUGUGUUACACUUGGGUAAUAAUCUAGGACAAAAUAGUCAAAAGUGCAUAAAUGGACCCAGUUAAAAUAUGUUUAAAAAAAUCAUCUUUGAUGGUCCCUAGUUAUUUAGGUGGUGGAAAAAUGUGGAUUAAUGAAUAUUUUAAAUAAACUUUACUAUGUAAUAGGUUUAAAACCGGGCUAGAUAGAUCAGUAGGAACUAAGAGUUAUGAAAAUAUUAUUGAAAUGGUUGUUUGAUGGCAGAAAUAUGACAGUAUUUUAUUAUGUUUUCGGAAUGCAUUUUUUUCAAAAAUAUUUCCUUUUUUUAAAAUAGAGGGGUCUUUUAAUAGUAUGCUGUUUUAUAAUUAUAUGGAGGUAUGCUACACCAGGGAAAAAAGUCCCCCAACUCUGAGUAGAUUUUGUUCUCAUUACUGGACUAUCGUCAAAAGUGAAAAAAAAAAAUUGAUGCCAGUAAUAACUUGUAUUUUCUCCAUUUGGAAUGCAGUUAACAGAUUUCCCCCCAUACACACAUAGAGUGCGAUUUACAGAAUUUUUAACUCAGUUCUAGAUUUAGAAUCUCUGAUUCUUCAGUGAAUUCUAAACCCAUUAAAAGAUCUUUUCAAUUCUUUAUAGAAUAAGCAAUAAUUAAUAAGUAAUAGUUCCCUAGGGCCGUUGUAAGAGAUGACCAUAAACUUGCUUAAAAAGGCAAAAAGUGUGUUUUCUCAUAGCUCUGAGAGCUCAAAGUCUGAAAUCGAAGUGUAGGCAGGGCCAUCCUCCUUCUGAAGGCGCUGGGGCACCGUUCUUCCUUGAUUCUUACUGCGAUUUGAGGCCAUCUUGGUGUCUCUGCCUCUCUCGUCACAUGGCCUUUGUUCCUGGAUCUCUGUCUCCUCUGGGUGUCUCCAUGCCCAAAUCUCUCUCCUUUUGUUUGUAAGGACCCCAGUCACUGGGUUUAGUGCCCCCCCCCCCCAGAAUCCAUGAGGAUUUUAUCUCAAGAUCCUUCACUCAUGACAUCUGCAAAGACCCCUUUCCCACACAAAGCCAUGUUCUGAAGGUCCAGAUAGACACACAUGAAUUUUUCUGGGGGGGAGGGAUAAUAUUCAACCCACUGUAAGUGGGGAGAAUCAUGUCUCAGCCUUGUGUUAUUUCACAUCUUAAAAGCUGUCGGCCAGACCAGCUGUAGAGGGGAGGGCCUGCUGGGAUGAGUGGCCAAAAAUGUGGAGGCCUCAGGAUACAGCACAGGAAGUGCUCUGGCAGGGGAGCCAUCCCUUGGGGCUUGCACGUUCCAUGAUGGAAUUAUCGGAUGGAACCACCGCAGGAUCCCUGGCCUUGCGUAAGUAAGUCUUCCAAGGUCUCCUGACUCUUCCGUACGUGGGAACAUAAUCAGCAGCUUUGACUCGGAUGUCUAAACUGAAUUCCCUGCAUAUUAGACUAGACCCAAGACGGGGAAAACGAGGAGCAAUGCAGUCAAGCUCUCUCUGCACUGGUAUCAUUUGUUUCUUAGCAAAUACUGAUAGCAGCCCCGUACACCUGUGUAAACUGUGUUUUCUCCUUGAGACUCACACAUGCCAGUGAGGUAGGCAAGUCCAUCACAGGCCUGUGAAAGAACAGGUUGCUCCAUCAGUGAAUUCAGCAAGUGUUUUGUGAGCCUGUGUUUGGCUCUAGGCUCUGGCUAGGAGAUCCCUGAAGCACAAAGUGUGGCGGUUUAUAGCCACUGGUCCAGUGCUGUUAAUUACAUUGUCUGCCUUGCACAGUUGUGGUUGUGACAUGGGGAUUCCGGGCUGAAAUCUCAGUUCCAACAUUUACCUCUCUGAGCCUCAGAUAAUUUACAUGCAGAAUGAGGACAAGGAGGAGUUCCCGUUGUGGCGCAGUGGUUAACGAAUCUGACUAGGAAACAUGAGGUUGUGGGUUCUAUCCCUGGCCUCGUUCCGUGGGUUAAGGAUCCAGUGUUGCCAUGAGCUGUGGUGUAGGUCCUAGACUCGGCUCGGAUCCUGCAUUGCUGUGGCUGUGGGGUAGGCUGGCAGCUACAGCUCUGAUUAGACCCCAAGCCUGGGAACCUCCAUAUGCUGUGGGAGUGGCCCUAGAAAAGACAAAAAGACAAAAAAAAAAAAAAAAAAAA